rnacentral:rRNA from 1 species
UACGAAGGGGGCUAGCGUUGUUCGGAAUUACUGGGCGUAAAGCGCACGUAGGCGGAUACUUAAGUUAGGGGUGAAAUCCCAGAGCUCAACUCUGGAACUGCCUUUAAUACUGGGUAUCUCGAGUCCGAGAGAGGUGAGUGGAAUUCCGAGUGUAGAGGUGAAAUUCGUAGAUAUUCGGAGGAACACCAGUGGCGAAGGCGGCUCACUGGUCCAUUACUGACGCUGAGGAGCGAAAGCGUGGGGAGCGAACAGG